UACGACAUUAGGUAUUGUUCAAGGACUGUGGACUCAAGUUAUGGUGUAAUCAUCAUUUAGAAACCCUGUAUUUGUCUCCAACCCAGAUACCAGGCGGUCAUUUUGCCGAGAAAUCGACAGAGGAAGAGCCAAGCAGAACCACUCGGGACUUCUUACUGAGAGCAACAAGGAUAUGUCCCCUCACCCAGAGUCGCUACCUCUCUGGUUCGCCAUAUCGACAUCAGUAGACACUAGCAAGUAAUCUGACCCCUCCAUCCAGGUCUGAAGUUCUCUAACUUUCUGUAGCUGCACCGUCACCAGCUCAAGCCAGUGUAUCGUCUGUCUUAGACCAUCUCCACUGCCACCAACUCAAGCCUCUAAUCUUCAGAUCUCCUCAGCCGGACCAACUCAAGACAGCCCCAUGUCACCUCUGCAUCCACCUGCUCAGUUCCUCAUAUAUAUUUAUCCCUUCAUCCCAUGACCGUUACCAUCAUCAUUCUUCUCUCAAUCUUUACCUUAAUCCAUUCAUAACACGACCCUUUCCCUCAUCCGUUAAUCCCUCCAUUUCUAAACCAUUACAAUUAUCUCAAUAUCAAA